rnacentral:lncRNA from 1 species
ACAAACAACAUACAAAAACUCACUCUGUCACUCAGGCUGGAGUGCAAUGGCACGAUCUCGGCUCACUGCAACCUCUGCCUCCCGAGUUCAGGAGGGCUCUGAGAGAUUUCAUUUCUGUCCUGCUGAUGAAGUCUACGUUCAUUCAGGGCCUGCUGUGGAAGACCAGCCCCAAAGUUGCUGAACAGAAGACUUUUGAGAGUCAGCAGAAAUCUUCCACUUUGCAUGGUUCUCUUGAUGUGAAAUCAUCUAUAUAGCCCCAGAAUUGGAAAA